UACGUAGGGUGCAAGCGUUGUCCGGAAUUAUUGGGCGUAAAGAGCUCGUAGGCGGUUUGUUGCGUCGGCUGUGAAAUCCCGAGGCUCAACCUCGGGUCUGCAGUCGAUACGAGCAAACUAGAGUGUUGCAGGGGAGACUGGAAUUCCUGGUGUAGCGGUGAAAUGCGUAGAUAUCGGUAGGAACACCCGUGGCGAAGGCGGUCUCCUGGGACGUUCUUGACGCUGAGGCGCGAAAGCUGGGGGAGCGAACGGG
rnacentral:rRNA from 1 species